rnacentral:rRNA from 1 species
UGAGUAACCUGCCCUUAACUCUGGGAUAAGCCUGGGAAACUGGGUCUAAUACCGGAUAUGACUCCUCAUCGCAUGGUGGGGGGGUGGAAAGCUUUAUUGUGGUUUUGGAUGGACUCGCGGCCUAUCAGCUUGUUGGUGAGGUAAUGGCUCACCAAGGCGACGACGGGUAGCCGGCCUGAGAGGGCGACCGGUCACACUGGGACUGAGACACGGCCCAGACUCCGUACGGGAGGCAG